GACGAACGCUGGCGGCGUGCUUAACACAUGCAAGUCGUACGGUAAGGCCCUGUCGUGGGUACACGCUUGGCUAACGGGCGGGUAACACGUGAGUAACCUGCCUACAAUUUUGUGAUAACGCUCUGAAACUGGUUCGAAUACUGGCUAUGUGCUCCCGCCGCAUGGUGGGGGUUGGUAAGCACCGGUGGGUGUGGGUGGACCCGCGGCCUAACAGCUUGCUGGUGGGGUAGUGGCCUACCAAGGCGGCGACGGGCAGGCGGCCGGGGAGGGUGACCGGCCACAAUGGGACUGAGGUACGGCCCAGACUCCCACGGGGGGGCGCAGGGGGGGAUAUUGCACAAUGGGCGCGAGCCUGGUGCAGGAACGCCGCGGGGGGGAGGACGGCCUUCGGGUUGUAAACCGCUUUCAGCAGGGACGAAGCUUUUUGUGACGGUACCUGCAGAAGAAGCACCGGCUAACUACGUG
rnacentral:rRNA from 1 species